rnacentral:lncRNA from 1 species
UUAUCUCCUGAAAUCGUGGUGUUAUCAAACCUCCUGAGGAUCAUCCUAGCCCUGUGUUGGACGCAUGUUGUAGACCAGGUUGGUGUUGGCUGUUGCUCUUAGGAAGCAGCAGAGCAGAGUGGAAAGCUCGCAGAACGUAGAAUCUACCCAAGUUUCCUUUUCUGUAAAUUCAGCAAAAAUGACAGCAACUUCAGCUGUUUUGAGGUUGAUUUUGAAAACUAAUGAAGAGACAAGUAAAAGAGGAAACUUUCAAAGGUGUUUCUGCAACAUAGCUCCAGCUGGAGGUGCUGCUUAAACUCUUCAAGGUCAAGAUGAAUCAAACUCAGAGGAGGCUUUACCCCUGGACCAUGCAAGCUCCUGAGGUCUGGGAGGAACUGCUGACAGUGAAAGUGGAGAUGGAAAGUCGCCUCCCAAUGCAGGAAUCCCGACUGAGAUGGAGUAAUCCCCUCAGGGAUUUUUAACCGAGGGAAAUUUAUCUGAAAGCACUUUCGACAGGAGAUCCCUGGGCCCUGCGAGGCCCUCACCUGGCUCUGGGAGCUGUGUCAACACUGGCUGCGCCCUGAGACCCACAGCAAGGAGCAGAUCCUGGAGCUGCUGGUGCAGGAACUGUUUCUGAUCAUCCUCCCGAGAAGCUCCAGGCCUGGGUGCAGGAGCAGCACCUCGAGAGUGGGGACAAAGUGGUGGCUACCAUGCUGGUGGACCUGGAGAGGGAGCUAGAUGAAUCACAGCAUGAGGUGGUAGCUACACACAGGGGCAAGAAGUCCUCUCCAGAGGGACAGUGCCUCUGGGACAGCAGACAUCACUGAGGCUUCAGUCCCAGCCCAGAGGACCCCAGCCCACAUGGGAUGCUGCUCAGGAGGCCCAUCCCUGGAGAGACAGCCAUCUUUUCCUUUAUUCUGCCUUCCAAGCUGUAUCUAGAACCUACUGGGGACUCCUUUCUUCAGGACGCACAUCUGAGCAUGUCCUUGCUCCCAUCUGCCCAUUGCUCGCCGCCUCCCUCCAUCCAGUCAUCCAUUAAGCAUCGAAUAUGGCUGCUGGAGAGCACCCAAGGGCUCUCUUACAGGACUGUCACUACAGGUAUGCAUCUUAUACUCAGGAAGAGCCAGUUCUGUAAAGCAACACAGUGUCUGAGAUUACAAGGAUUAAUACACUUUCCAGCUCACAUUUUUCCUUAA